CAUUAAUUUGGUGUUGCGGGGAAACAGGACUGUUACUUUGAAAAAAUUAGAGUGUUUAAAGCAGGCUAGCGCCUGAAUACAUUAGCAUGGAAUAAUGAAAUAGGACGUUCGAACCUAUUUUGUUGGUUUCUAGGAUCGACGUAAUGAUUAAUAGGGAUAGUUGGGGGCAUUAGUAUUCAAUUGUCAGAGGUGAAAUUCUUGGAUUUAUUGAAGACUAACUACUGCGAAAGCAUUUGCCAAGGAUGUUUUCAUUAAUCAAGAACGAAAGUUAGGGGAUCGAAGACGAUCAGAUACCGUCGUAGUCUUAACCAUAAACUAUGCGGACGAGGGAUCAGAAUGAUGUUAUUUUUAAGGACUCA
rnacentral:rRNA from 1 species